GGGUCAGAUGAGAGAGACUUGACCCGAGAUCUAACAACACAUAGACAUCAAGAAAAAAGACAUGGAGCAUAAUGGUAUAAAUAUCGAGUGAGGACUCCUGCUCCUGAUAGGAUAGUAAAGCAUAGAAUCUGUUCGGCACUGACCGCCAUUAGUGCUAGAUGAAGUGCCAUAAGCAAGGGCGAGAUGAGGUACAGGAGCUGGUGCACUACUAGCCUGUGCCUGAGGUCGGGCAUCUCUG
rnacentral:lncRNA from 1 species